rnacentral:lncRNA from 1 species
AGGCUGUGUAUCCUCUACUGAAAACUGUGGCAAUUUUGGGCACUCAUCUGCUGGCUGGUAAAUUAUUUCAAAAAAGAAGCCUCAAACCCUACUUUUCCUACCCCUAACUUUGCUCAGUUAUUCAGAGGGGACAAACUCUUUCCAAGGAGACAGAAAGGCAAAGAUACCUACAGGAGAUAUCUGGAAAGGAGCUAUGAGCAUCCCACCACGUUCCCUCAUCUCCAGCAGAAGUGCUUCCACAGAGGCAUUCCUGAAAAGGCUUAGGAUGAGGACAUCAAGAGAACUUCUCAACUGUGGCAAUCAUGAUGGAAGAGGGCAUCUUGUUUCUGAGGAGCGUGGUGACCCAGGAGUGGCAGAACACAUGGAUAUACUCCCUGCUUUGACAGGGGCAGGGAAAUGCAGUGGUGAGGACUCAUUCACUGAGAUCCUGACUGCCAGCCACAUCAUGCUGGAGGUGGGCAAGGACCUGGCUUGGGACCUGGCUUUGUAUCACAAGCUGAAGCUGACAGCUGGGUUUUCCCUUUCUGCAGAAGGAAAGAGAGAAGGGAAAAGGUGUUGUGUCAUCUGAGAGAGCAUCUCUGUCAUCUCCAGCUGGGAGUGGUGUCCUUUGGCUGCUGCCAGUGUGCUGCAAACCAGCACUAGAGAUAAAGAUUGCCAGAGAGGUAAUUUAUUAGCAAUACAUCCUCAAUCAGGCCUCAGUGAAAUAUCUCUGAGAACCAAGUUGCCUGAAUUCCUCUGUCUACAUGGACUGUUCCUGCUCUUUCCAGAACUGAUGUUGUCAGGGGGGUGCUGUGAAGCACCCUGCGCCUCCCAGGUCUUUAUGCUGAGAAUGGCAAUGAUUUAAUGAAGAGGUGCAAAUGGAUAAGGGGUGAGGAGCACCAGAGAGAGAAUGUGCUUGCCUGUGCAUGACCUGCCAUCACCCUGCAGAUGUUCUGUGGCCUCCAUGAGGUAAUGAGCUUGGGAAGCCUACUCCUCUGCAGCUUCUGCUUAGAAGUUCGAUGUCUGUCCCUGUGAACUCUAGGGAAUAAGCCACCUCCUGGUAACAGUGGCAUCUAACAGGUGCCUUGCCUGGGGAUAGCACCUAUCUACAAAAGGCAACAUGAAAAUAAAAGAAAAAUGCCAGUUUGUGAUGUAUCA